ensembl:lncRNA
UAAAUGAAGCGUCAUGUUGAGGAAGGACAACGUGACAGAGGCUGAUGAGAGGAGGGAGUGCAUGGAGCUGUUGAAGGAGAUGGUCGCGUGGGAUGAGAAGGAGCGGAUCACUCCCGCUGAUGUCCUCAACCAUCCUUUCAUUACCAAGAGCUACAUACACAGCACCUCCCGCCUCAGCUCCUGUCCUCAGCCUGCUGCAGCUCUGGACGCCACCAGCAUCCACAUGGACAACACGGAGCUCCCUCCCAACACCUCUGGUGAUAAUAAAGAACAUCUUGAUCUAUCAAUCUAGAACAUGUGUCUAGAUUAUUGAGAUGAGUUAUUCAAUGUUCUUUGAUUUACAGAAGAAGAAGAAGAAGAAGAAGAAGAAGAAGAAGAAGAAGAAGAAGAAGAAGAAGAGGAGGAGGAAGUUCUUAUUAUUAUUAUAAUAACAAUAUUAAUAAUAAUUAUUAUUAAUAUUCCUGAGAAUUCUAUCAAUCUAGAACAUGUGUCUAGAUUAUUGAGAUGAGUUUUUUAAUGUUCUUUGAUUUACAGAUGACAGAGGGGACGAGAAGAAGAAGAAGAAGAAGAAGAAGAAGAAGAAGAAGAAGAAGAAGAAGAAGAAGAAGAACUCCUGUAGACGCUUCUUCUCCUGGAUGACGAGGAUCUUCUGCUGCUACAUGGACGACGUGCAGGAGUGAAGAUUUCUAUUGUUUGUCGCUAAAGAACCUGAGAACUUGCUCACAGGUGUUCUGCUAGAAAACAUUCAUAGUGCAGAAGAUUCAAACCAUUCAAGCAGAGCUCUGAUCUUAUGUUUGUGUUUUGUGUUUCAUGUUAUUGUUAGUAUUGAACGUGAACGUGAAUGAACUUUUGUCUCAGCAACUCUUGUGAGAUCUGACAACACAGAGCGUUAAUGUUUGUCAGACUGUGUCCAAACAUCUUCUAAGGUAAAAAGUCUUUGUGAUGCUCAACAUGUUAGUUCCCUGUGUGACUCUCUAACGUUAGCUCAACAUAAAUACAUUAGAGCAGGCCUACUGAGGAGACAGGUGGUGUUUACCAUUUGAACAGCAUCGCUGCUGCUCGUGAUCGUCUUUAGUUAUAGAACAUGUUACAGCUUCACUGUGUUGCUGCAGUGCUCAGUGGAGCAUACAUCUCUCUUUCAAACGUGUGAAGAUUACAAGCAGUCAGUUUCACUCUUAUGUGCAUUUUAUAAAUACAUUUAGCUUUGUAAGCUAGUAGCAGCUAAAGUUUGUAGCCGUCCCUCAAUGUUGUUGUUUAUCCUUCUGGCUCGCUAGUUAUUUACAUUCAUGUGACAAAGUUUGUUCUCAGCUGUUAUAUUGAUCUCUGUCUUCUUUCCCUUCAAUAAUGUCAACAAGUCCUUUAAACGUGUGUCUUGUAAAAUGAAACGCUAUUUGUUCUCAUGCUUAUGACUCACAUGCCAUCAUUUAACUUUAAGAUAUGAAGACAUGUUAGACUCUGCUACAAUACAUUAUAACUAUGAGAGUCUUUAUGCUAAGCUAAGCGGGCUAAAUAUUUAGCAUACAGACGAUCUAUCUUCUUAUUUUACUCUCAGCAACAAAGUGAAGAAACAUAUUCCCCAAAGUGUCAAACUCUUCCUUUAAACAACAAACUGCACACAUCAGGUUGUGUUUAGAUGUGUCCUGUUGCUUAGUAACAUCAUCACUCUUUAUCUUCUACAAGCUUUUCUCACCACGUCAUUAAGUUGUGAUUUCUCUCUGUGGACACCUGCUGCAGAAGCUUUAAUACAAUUCACACUUUGUGUAGGUACGAGGUUUAGCUCAGAGAACUGCAUCAUGGGGGGUCCUGCAGUUAUUUUAGGAGUGUGGCUUCAUGUUACAUAACUGGGCUGAUGGAUGUGUGUUUAGAAAGUGACAGGUGUCAGUUCACAUGCUGACAGUACAGUACUCAGGGAAGCAAAGCAGCAGUGUUACUGAGCACACACUUACACACAACACGUGUUGUUUACUGUCGACGGCUGGCAAACACUUCAGAAUGGUUCAGUUACUAUCCUCACCACUUAAAUAGUCUUACCGCAGGUCCGACUGCAGGGGGAGACAGUGAGCAGUGAGCAGCUUCAUGUGUGAGUGAUGUGGAACCUGUGCAAUCUGCAGGUACAGUUGACCUCAUUUCUAUCAUUAGGGCAAUUUCAUUGAUCAGUUUCAUUUGACUUCCAGCUUGUUUUAGUUGAUUCAAAAUGUUCAAUCUGAAGGUUUAUUAUUUUAUAAUGUUUUGUGUUUCUGUGUUCCAUUGAGCUCUUGUUUAUUUUUUACUGGCCCG